AUGGAGAGGUAUAACAUUAUUACGGAAGUGGGUGAUGGUACGUUUGGUAGUGUUUGGCGUGCAAUCAAUAAAGAAAGUGGGGAAGUGGUCGCAAUCAAGAAAAUGAAGAAAAAAUAUUUUUCUUGGGAGGAGUGCAUCAAUCUCCGUGAAGUGAAGUCCCUCCGAAGGAUGAACCAUCCAAACAUUGUGAAGCUCAAGGAGGUCAUAAGAGAGAAUGACAUGUUGUUCUUUGUUUUUGAAUACAUGGAAUGCAAUCUCUAUCAGCUGAUGAAGAGCAAGGGCAAGCCUUUUUCGGAGACUGAGAUCCGGAACUGGUGCUUUCAAGUAUUUCAAGCUCUUAGUCACAUGCAUCAACGUGGAUACUUUCAUCGUGACCUUAAGCCUGAAAAUCUGCUAGUUACAAAGGAGCUCAUCAAGGUAGCUGAUUUUGGGCUUGCUCGUGAGAUUAUUUCUGAACCACCAUACACAGAAUAUGUGUCAACUCGCUGGUAUCGUGCCCCAGAGGUUCUACUUCAAGCUUCUGUUUACAGCUCAGCAGUUGACAUGUGGGCUAUGGGUGCCAUUAUUGCAGAGCUUUUUUCGCACCGACCUCUUUUCCCAGGCUCAAGUGAAGCGGAUGAGAUAUACAAAAUCUGUAGCAUUCUUGGCACACCAAAUCAGCAUACUUGGGCUGGAGGACUGCAGCUGGCAGCAUCUAUCCAUUUUCAGUUUCCUCAGUCUGGAAGCAUAAAUCUUUCAGAAGUGGUUCCCACAGCAAGUGAAGACGCGCUGAACCUUAUUUCGUGGCUUUGCUCAUGGGACCCACGUAAAAGGCCAACCGCAGUGGAGGUUUUGCAGCAUCCCUUCUUUCAGCCAUGCUUCUAUGUCCCCCCUUCACUUCGUUUUAGAUCGACCGGAUAUGCAACAACACCACCAUCAGUUGGGGCUAAAGGAGCUAUGGACCAGAAGAAUGCUAGGAGAUACCCUGUGGGGACUUUAUCCAACGGGAGACCGGCAGUCAAUAACUCGUACCUGAGCACCAACGCCCCAGCAAGAGCAGCUGGCGUGCAAAGGAAGCUAGAGUUGGAUCAUCAGGUGAAACCAAUGGGAGACCAUAAGCUGACGAAGGAGAACGCCAUGAACCAGCCCUGGUCCAGACUACCACCAGCACCAGUGAGGAGCAACGGGAACUACCUCGCCCCGAAGGAGCACAUCCCUCGCGGCGGCGGCGCGCCUGACAUAGCCGAGAAGCUGUCCCAGCUGUCGAUGGCCUCCACCACCAACCGGGCGCCGACCGUGCCUUCCGGCAGGUUUGCUGACCUGAAGGGCACUAGUAGAGCCCACCAACCGGAGCCCGUGAGGCGGCCCGUGCCUCUGGGACCCAGGGACACGUGGCACGCCCGGAACGACCCCUUCCGGCGCACCUACGAGAUGCCGGGCGAGAGGGCCCUCCUCCAGAGGAAGCUCGUCAGCUGA
rnacentral:rRNA from 1 species